GUACCCCCCUUCCCAAAUUAGUAUGUCAGAGCCCUAAUCCCUGACGUAAUGGUGCCUGGAGGGGCCUUUGGGAGGUAAUUAGGGUUAGAUGAGGUCACGAGGGGCCCUGGGCUGAUGGGUUAGUGCCCUGUGAGAAGAGACCAGAGAGCUCGCCGUUGCCGUGAGCGUGAGCUGAGGAAGGCCCGUGUGAGCACGCAGAGAAGGCAGCUGCCUGCAAGCAAGAGAAGAGGCCUCAGAAUUAAUCUGCCUGCUGGCACCCUGACCUUGGACUCCCCAGCCUCCAGAACUGUGAGAAAUAAUUGGUUUUCAGGCCCCCAGCGCAUCGUAUCUUGUUGUAGUGGCCCAAGCCGACUAGCUCAGCGGUCCCGCCUUCCCAUCACGCUUGCCUUGGUUCCCGCAGUGACACAGUCUGGAGAACGUGUAUGUGUUUGGAAGUAGACCCCCCCCCCCCCCAGGAACACCAGUUACUGUGGGCAGGGAGUGCGGGGGCAGGUCUCCCUUCUCGGCCUUGAGUGGGGCCUAGUCUAGGUCCUUUACAGCUGGGCCACUUGCUUCCCACCGUGGCCUGCGUGCCGGACGCCAGCACCUCCGUUCUACAGAUGAGGCGGCGGACACUCAGUGACUGGCAGCAAGCACGGUCUUCCGAUUUGGGUCCCUGCCACCUAGUUACAUUCAGGGUCCUGUUCUCUUGAGUGGAGCUUAAGCUAGAAAGUGGGAAGAGCUGACUUUUUAUCUAAUAUCUGUUUAAAUUCACAUUUCCUGCUCUUUUAAAAAAAGCUUUUAAGUAAUUUCUUCACCCCAUGUGGGGCUUGAACUCAUGAACCCACGGUCAAGAGUCACAUGCUCUUCUAACAGAGCCAGCCAGGCACCCCUCAAACCUCAUACUCCCAUCCAAGGACUAACCAGGCCCGACCCUGCUUAGCUCCUGAGAUCAGACGAGAUUGGGCACGUUCAGGGUGGUAUGGCCGUAGACGCAUUUCAUACUCUUUAUGACUAAUUCUCUGUGCUCUGGGAAUACUGUUUUGUAACUAUUUUAAGUUUCUAUUUCAUUAUUAAAAUAUAGAUAAAAUAUAAAUACAAAUAAAUAUAUAUUUGGGGAGGAAGUUAGGGUUGGACGUGGUCAUAAGGACGGAGUACUGGUUAUGACUAUCUGUAUCUGUAUCUGUAUCUGUAUGUCACCCUUAAAAAUACAUAGGAAGAUGUUAUUGGAAAGUGAGUCCCACAUUUUCUCAAGUGGAGAUGAAAUGUCUUCUCUGCGUCUUUAAUAAAGUUUUGUUCGGGCAAUUUUUACAAGUAAGAGCGGGUCACGUCAGUGUUGAGUUUCUUAGAAGUCAGAAAACACCACUUCACACGUCCCUGGGACAGACGACAGCGUUAAGGUUCCGUUACUGCUUGGCAGAGAUCGUCUGAACAUACCCUUUUCUGAGUCAAAAUCGCUCGGCUCAGUGAUUCUUUGUCAUUUUUUAAAGACUGUCAUGGGCGUGAGUUCUUCGAGAAGCUGCUGAAAGCCAUACGCAGUUUCCCCAGGAAAGGGCUGCAUGUAAUUUCAGGAGGUUCAAGGGACUGCGUGAAGCCGGGAAGGAGGACGCGUGGAGAGUGAGGGCUGCACCGGUGCUGCUUCUGGAGGCCGUGCUCAAGAGGGUGAGGUCCUGAACCGACUUAAGCAGCCCUUGAACACACACACACUGUAGAGUGGGUGCUGGGUGCUGUGGCAGGUCUGACAAGGAACAGUGGCUACAAUGUGGCCCCUGCCCUCAAGGGACUCACAUCUACUGGUAGAGAUCAGCUUCGAAACAGAAGAUAAAAUACCAGGUCUCGGCUCCUUUACGAGGUCAGAUGACGUCACGAAUCCUAACCAGCCCCUCACUGAUGCACAGUGUUUCUCAUAAAAGGAAAUGAGUGAAAAAUUUCACAGGCAAAACGAGUCAAACGUGCUUGUCUUCUCAACAGUGAAGGUCUUUGUACAGAUUUCUCUAGACGUUUCUGAGCGUGGGAGCACUUCUGUCGAUUAAGUUUGCUAGAGCAAAGGAUUUGAAUGUUUAAGUAGUCACUAGAGAGACUCAGGUUACCUUCCAGAACGGUGUGUCAGUUUCCCGCCUCCGGAAGAUUCCCGUCAUUUAUGAAUGAUGAUACUUGCUCUGUCAUGCAAUUUGCAGUAAAGAGUGAUG